rnacentral:lncRNA from 1 species
AAUCCCUCAUUUGGGACGGGGCACUUUAAAAACAAACUUAAAAGGUAAAAGUGAAAAGAUUUUCAGCAGUUGAGGGAUGAAAAUCUCAACUUCAAAAAAAUAAAAAUGAGAAGAUAAAAUUCAUUUUCAUCUUACUAUUCCCUUGAUUACUAAACAUCUAUUUUAAGAAUGGAGGCUUUGACCUAUAUAUUAUUUUCUUCUAAUUAUCUCAGGUAAUAUUCUUAGGCAGCUUCAAUCGACAGAUAACUUCUACCUUCUUUCAAAAUACAACUACACCGAGUGCAUGGAAAGCAAGCAAAAUGUCAAGUUCACAAAUGUUCACGUAGGAAACAAAGGGAGAGGCGCUCGACUUGCUUCCACGGAAAGGAUUUUGAGGGAGAAGCUUAACCGCCUUGGAAAAGCUAAAUAUCCCUCCGGGAGAAGAGCCGUAAGUCCCGGUUCCAGCGAUUUCGACCGAGUUCGGGAUCCAGAGGUCCCCCAUCCCCCUCGCAGCGCAGGCCGCGCUCCGGGAAGCCGGGUAGGGCCUGCUCCAAAAACCACUGAGUCAUGCACUCGGCAGUCCCUCGCCGGAACAACUCGGCUGUGCAGGGAGCCGGGCGCGGCAGCAGCCGCCUCAGCCAUUGUCUGGUCGGCCAGCCGGCGGCCGGCCGACUCGCGCCUUGCGCCGCAGCACGCCGGGCAUUGUCCCGGCCGGCCGGCUGGCCGAGUCGGGCCGGUCUUUGUGCUCGCUGAUCGGGCGUGCUCCCGCCCCCGCGCCGUCCCGGCUCGCGCCACUUACCCUGCGGGGCCCGGAUGCACUAGCGAGCUGGCGCGCGACGCCGGGCGGUGGGCCGGGCUGAGGCCUCCGGGAAGGGCUGGCUAGCGGCCGC